UAUCAUGAUGCGGUAAUUUGCGAUUGACCCAGGUCCUGUGAAGCUCUCGCCGGAGUUUCGAUACAGGCCUGGCGUAUGAUAUUUACUUUCUUACAUAUUCUGAAU
rnacentral:snoRNA from 1 species